AUUGAACGCUGGCGGCAUGCUUUACACAUGCAAGUCGAACGGUAACAGGCCGCAAGGUGCUGACGAGUGGCGAACGGGUGAGUAAUGCAUCGGAACGUGCCCCGUCGUGGGGGAUAACGCAGCGAAAGCUGCGCUAAUACCGCAUACGAUCUAUGGAUGAAAGCGGGGGGUCGGAGGGCCGCGUGAGAAUGGAGGGGCCGAUGUCUGUUUAGGUAGCUUGUGGGGUAAAGGCUCACCAAGCCAACGAUCUGUAGCUGGUCUGAGAGGACGAGCAACCACACUGGGACUGAGACACGGCCCAGACUCCUACGGGAGGCAGCGGUGGGGAAUUUAGGAAAAUGGGCGCAAGCCUGAUCCAGCAAUGCCGCGUGCAGGAAGAAGGCCUUCGGGUUGUAAACUGCUUUUGUACGGAACGAAACGGUCCUGGUUAAUACCUGGGGCUAAUGACGGUACCGUAAGAAUAAGCACCGGCUAACUACGUGCCAGCAGCCGCGGUAA
rnacentral:rRNA from 1 species